rnacentral:piRNA from 1 species
UGGCAAGACAAAAAUAGACAGUAUUCAUCA